rnacentral:lncRNA from 1 species
UAGAAAUCUUUCUCAUCCUCAUCCAGUGAAGAGGAUGUCAGUAGCUAUGGCUACCCACUUAAUCCAUCUCUGGAUAUUCCUUAUGGCUCACCAAAUGAUGAUUUCCCAACUCGUCGUUUGCCUACUCUUUCCUACCCUCAAAUGAAUAGUGGAAUGAAUAGUGGCCCCAAAUACCCUGUAGCUGACUCUGAAUCAGGGCAAUCUCCAUAUCCUUGGGUUCAGUCUGCUUCUGGCUCUCCCUAUGUGUACCAAGUCCCUAGUUAUUCCCCACCUCAAAUGAACGCUCCUGAAGCUCCCGCUGCGGCUGGUCCUUGGGCUCCCUCUGCUGCUGCUCCUCUGGUUCCUCACCAUUAUCCUCCUCCACCUCCUCCUCCUCCUCCACCUCCUCCUCCUCCUCCCCCUCCACCUCCUCCCUCCUCCAGUGUUUGAAUAGCGUCUGCAGCAUCUGCAGAUCCAUCUGGUCUAUCUUUAGAAUCUGAGGCUGUUCCAUCUAUGCCUGUAGCAGCUGAGCCUGCUGCAGAGUCACUUUCUUCAGAGUUGACUGCAGAUACUCUUUCUUCAGUUGAGCCCGGUGAAGUCACAGAUGCCCAGACUGCUGCAGCCAAACAUGCUGCAGCCAAACAUGCUGCAUCCCUGUCUCUUGCAGUCAAACAGUCUGAAGUCCAGUCUGCAGCCAAACAGGCUGCCUCCCAGUCUGCUGCAGUUAAAUAUGUUGCAUCCCGGCCUGCUGAUGUCCCGUCGACUGCAACUGAACUUACUGGUGCAGCUAUGCCUGACACCCAGUCGGCUUCAGCCAAAUCUGAUGGAGCUGAACGUGCUGUAGGCCAUUCUGCUUCAGCCAAACCUGGUGGUAAUAAGCCUAUUCUAGACAAACCUGAUAUCUCAGAAUCUCAACCCUCUCCUCUUGACCAGAGAAAUGACAAUUUCGACAGAAAUGAGUAACAUGCAUUUGUUUCUAGACUGGUGCAGAAAUCAAUGAAAUCUAAAAAAAAAAAAACUUUUUCAA